ensembl:processed_transcript Gm12724 predicted gene 12724
GGUUCAUCCCUUCUGAAUAGAAAAUGAUUCACACUCACCCAGUGUGAAAGGUACAGAAAGGGCUUUGCCCAGAGGCUCAAGAGUCCGGGACACACCACUUUAUACAGUCACACAGCGCUGGAGAAGAAGAGCACCCUAGUCGUGAUGUAAUCUUACUGGAAGUGAAGGAAGAAGCUAGACCUCCAACGGGGCAAUAUCUGUGCUUUACACUAAGAGUCUGGACGACUAUAAGCCAGCCGUGCCUGAUUAAUGCUAGGACAUACAUCAUAAAACAAAAAGGUAUUUGCAGGUGUCCAUGGAAGCCAGACAGGAACAUUAGAUCCCUUGGAGCUAGAGUUAGAGGCAUUUGGAGCUAUUGUCCCAUUUAGGGACUGGGAUCUUAACUUGGGUCCUCUGGUACAGCAGCACGAACCCUGACUGAUACAGAAGAGGAAAGACUUGAGGCCCAGCAUCAGACUCUGCUCAUCCAGACUCCCAUCCCAUCCUGAAUUCCUGCUUCCCUAGUCUCAAGGUUGCAACCUCAGAGCUGUCCCUUAGAGCUCAGAGCAGCUGCUGUCCCUUAGAGCUCAGAGCAGCUAUUGUUC